AAACAGGCUGAAGAAGGAAAGGUACAUAUCAUUUUUUAGUUAAUGAUUUAAAAUUGGAUAACUUGCUACUAUUUGUAAUCAGAUCAGUUAUGUAUGAUCUGUAAUGAUCUCUCUUAGGGAAAUAAGCUCAGAUAGGAAAAUCUUAUGGGACCUACAAGAAUUUAUAUCUAACUCAUAAUUGAGUUCGUUAGGGUUAGGGAAUCUAGAACUGAUGUAAAAGUAUGUGUUUUUCUCAGUGAAUUUUUUUUCAGAAAACUUGGAAAGGCAUACAUUCUUAGGUUUGGUGCUGGCAUCAUGCAAUCUAUUUAAUAGAUGGAUUCGAAAGUUGAAUUCUUUUAUUAUAUUAUCAUUUGCAUGUAGAUGUUGGCUAAUGGUGGUGUUCAACUGAGUCAACGGGUUCUUAGCUGUCUAAGCUAGGUUUGGUCAUUUCUUAGUCAAGCUUGAACUCAUCUCAAGAUUGACUUGAAGCUUUAAGAAGCCUUUUCCAAGUUUGGUUUGAUUUUAUUCCACUUAAGCUUGAGUUUGAUUUUAGUUUGGCUUGAUGAAAUAUUUGGGCUGAUUGUAUUUCUUUGAAGCCAAGCCAAGCCAGCAAAGGAUGUGGACUAAAAGCUUUAAUCUGAUUAUUUAAAGCCUUAUCGUACAAGAAAGGCCCAAGGAGGCGGCGCACACAUGAGAAUUAAAACUAUGGGUGUCCUAUUAAAUGGAAAUGAAAACUACAAUGCAGCUUGUUCAUGAACAUAAUCGAGUUCACCUAUAUUAAAUUUUUGUUUGAUUUAUUUAUUAAAAGAGCCUAAACUUUAGGUUUAAAGCUGUUCAUUUUUCUUAGUAAAAGAACGCAAGUUUUUACUGAAUUUGUUCACAAGCUGGCUGCUGAAUGCGCUAGUUCAUCUAUGGACUUAGGAUUAGUAGAUUGCAUUAAAGUCAUCAAUAUUUUACUUAAAAUUAUCUUUCUUAACCCAUUGUUUUUAGGUUUAAAAUUGUUCAUUUUUAGUUUUUACUGCAUUUGUUUUGUUCACAAGCUGGCUGCUGAAUGCGCUAGUUCAUCUAUGGACUUAGGAUUAGUAGAUUGCAUUAAAGUCAUCAAUAUUUUACUUAAAAUUAUCUUUCUUAACCCAUUGUUUUUAGGUUUAAAAUUGUUCAUUUUUAGUUUUUACUGCAUUUGU
rnacentral:misc_RNA from 1 species